GCGAGAGUAGUUCAGUGGCAGAACGCUAGCCUUCCAAGCUGGUCACGAGGGUUCGAUUCCCUUCUCUCGCUCCA
rnacentral:tRNA from 1 species